CGCAUACUCUUUUCCGCAUUCUUCCUCACGGCCAAAAGCAAAUAUUUAUUCCCCGCAUAUUUUUCCCUUUCUUUCAGGCUCCAGUUUUGAAACCUGUGGAUUCCCCCGGCCAAACAUUGCUUGACUGGCAUGAAUUGGGUCGGUUUGUUACCCUCCGGUUCCUCGAGGCUGCUUCUGAAAAUCGCGUUGCAGCACGGCGGGGAGGGGGGGAGAGAAGGGGGAAGGGAAGGCAGCUCUAUGGGGCAGUGCUGUUUUACAUAUGGGUUAGACACGGCUAGAGGCCAAGGUCAAGUUGAAAGUUGCAGUCUAGCCAGUGUGAGA
rfam:Tauraco erythrolophus contig69242, whole genome shotgun sequence.